UUAUAUUGAUUACUACGGACUUCCGCAACAAAUUGCCAGAGGUUGGUUGAUCCAAAAUGGUUGCCGUUUGUUGUGCUUUCAGUGAUUUGUGAAACUUAUUUCAAUAAAUGUUUAUUAACGUAGGAGAUCGUGUAUGUGUGGUAUAAACUUAAAUAAUGGAUGAAAAAGAAUCUGUUCCCGAAACUCCUGGUGAGGAGACCAGUCAAGGUUCGGGGGACGGGUCAGACGUGGUGAAAUCUGAUGACACGGAGCCCGUUGAGUCUCAAGAUUCUCUGGAGCCAGCACCAGAACCUAGUGAUAAUGUUUCCUGUGACAAACCUGACAGUGAUGAUGUGGAAAAUAGUGAAUCUGAGCCUAAAGAAAGUGUGAGUGAACUUCAAAACCAUGUGGAUGAUAUGAGUGUUACAGAUACUGAAAAUGACUGUGAGAAGGAGGAGAGUGAAAAGACUAAUGAAGAUGAAACAGCAUCUAUGGAGACAGACACCCAGGAUACUAACAAAGAUGAUGUGAAUCAAGACGAAACACAACAAGAUGAAUCUGAAAGUAAUUUAGGAGACAAAUUAAAAGAUGAAGAUAAUAGUCAGGAUGCAAGUCAAGACUCGGAGAGUGUAGACACACAAGAACAAGCUGAGAAAGCAGACGGUGGUGAUGAAGAAACGGAGAAGGAAGAAAAGAGAGACGAUGAAGUUGGGAAGCCGGAGUUCGAAACUGCUCCUAAUAUUUCAAUGGAUGAACCGCAGGAGGAUCAUUCACAGGCCCUAGAUCCAUUUGACGCUCUAUUGAAAGACAAAACCGAUGCAUCCGUAUCGGACACAGCAACACCAACAACGUCACAAGCAGAGACAAUUAACGCAAUUGACGAUGAUGAUGAUGAUCAUAACACAGACCAAGUUGACGGUGAAGUGGAGGAUGAAGACACUACAAACACAGAAGAGCAACCGGAGCUGAUCGAUGAGCCCGGAGCAGAUGAAGAGGUGUGCCUGCUGCCGGACACUGAGCGGGAGAUCUCUGAGGCUGAUAAGGCUGAAGCCGAGAAAGUACUGGCUGAGAAACGUAAACAGGCUGAAGAAGCCGCCGCUUUAGCAGUAGAAGCGACCGUCCCCAAAGAGGAGAAUGAAGCGAUGGAUGGAGACUCGGCGAGCAAAGAAGACGGCGUCAACGAGAGCCACACGGAAGACGCAUCCACCGCCACCGAGGAUCCUUCCCAGGAAAAUGGCGCUGACAAAGAUAAUGAAAAUGAAAUUGAAAACGAGCAUGAGGAAAUAGUCGAAACAGAAGUGGCUGUAACAACAAAUGUGAUUCAAGAAGUGAAUCCAUAUCCAAGCAAAUGUGAGCAGUGUUACUUGGACCUCAAUUGCUAUUUUCGGUUUACAACUAAAGAUGGGGAUUACAGAUACUUGUGCACUGCAACCUGUACUAGCAAAUUCGUGGAAAAUAACCCACUUCAAUACACUGUGACGACUAAAAAAUAUCUCAUCGAAGAAAUAUUACCAAGAUUCUUGACAUGUUCCGAGUGUGAAGAAAAGAAAACUUGUUAUUUCUACUAUAAUUUUGAUGGAGAAGACACGAAUUACUGUUCUCUACAGUGCUUACACGGCAUGAUGGCAGAUGAGAAGGAUAAGUAUAUUUUCAAAAGGAGAAAGAUCAUCGUGGAAGAAACUGCGCCCAAGGAGGGAGAGUGCUUAGUUUGUAAGGAAACAAAGAAUUGUAAUUAUUGCAUGACGAGGUAUGGAGAGUUUAGUUUAAUAUGUGAUCAUGGCUGCAUAAAACAACUCAAUUUGAGCGAAAGCGGAAGGUACGUGAUAAAGAGGAAGAGGAGUUGCAGGAGAGCAACCCCGGCAGCGCCAACUAACCCGCCACUGCUCAAAUUGAAAGUUAUAAGUAACGCAACAGAUAAAUAUUUGGAUGAAGCAUAUAAAAUUCAAGCGAAAACCCCGGCGAUGGUGCAAGCCGCGCGCGACGAGAGAGAACGCAGCUUCACGCGAAAGUGCACUCAAUGUGUCAUGCUGCUCACCAGCGAAGAGAAACUCUUGACGUGGGAGACCAUGGAUUUCUGCGACGAAGUUUGCCUUGGCCAGUACCAGAAUAAAAUUGGGUCUAGAUGCGCUAACUGCAAAAACCCGGUUCAGCAUACAAGUUUAGGGAAGUACUGUGUUAGGUUCGGAUACGAUAUACGGCAGUUUUGUAACUCGGGCUGUUUGGAAGAGUUCAAGAAAGGGUUGAAGAUAUGCUGCUACUGCCAGAGGGAUAUUUCGGCGGGUCUGCAAGGGUUCUUGGCGCCGGUGGGCGACAAGGGACAGUUCAAAGACUUUUGCUCGCAGACUUGUAUGGAGAAGUUUGAUCAGAUGAGCAAAAAUCCGAUUCCGCAGCCGAUUUGGGCGAAGUGCGCGGUCUGUUCGAUAGAGAAGGCGACGUCGAUCGAGGUGGAAGUGAGUGAGCAAGUCAAUCAGCGGUUAUGUUCCGAUCCAUGUUUUGCAGCUUUUAAAUUCGUCAAUAAUAUAUUCCCAGAUCAAUGCAGAUGGUGCAAAAAGUACUUCGAGCGCAAAGCCAACAAAUGUUUCACGAUAUACGACAACAACACUCCCAACUGUUUCUGCUCCAAGUCUUGUAUGAACGUCUACAUCAGCAACUCCAGGCACAUAGUCCCAUGCAACUGGUGUAAAGUAAAGAAAUACAACUUCGACAUGAUCAGGAAACAACAGGCCAAUGCGCAGCCUGUGAUGAUGUGCUCGCUGAAUUGUCUCAACCUGUAUCAGGUUUCCGUCAAUGCAGUCUCCUCGAAAAGAACUAAGUGCGACAUGUGCAAGCGGACUGCUCUCGCGCAAUACCACUUGACGAUGUCGGACGCGACGGUGCGGAAUUUCUGCACGUACCAGUGUGUCAUGGGCUUCCAGGGUCAAUACUCAAAGCACACGCCGCCGUUGAUGCCCGGCGAAUCCAUCGACCAGCAAAAGGCGGUGCCUACGGGAGUCCCGCGCCGCACCUACACCGCUCCCGCUAACAAUAAGACUAAUGCAACAAAAGGUCAACAGCGAGCAAGUGGCGGUAUGCCAGUGAUCUCAAAUGUCCAAUCUCUCGCCGCGCCGCCGCCUCUAAUGCCCUCCGUUACCCGCGGCAAGUCCAAGCGCCUCGCCGUGGCCCAGCCCCCGCCCGAACCGGAGCCCCCCGCUGCCCCCAAAACCCCGCCUCCCCCUCCCAAACCCCCAACCCCCCCGCCACCUCCACCCCCCAAAGUCUACAACCACGUCAUCGUCAAAACGCUCCCCCCUAAAGAAGUGGCGAACAAAGGAACCAUGUCGAAACCGAUGAUGGUAUCCAAAGGCAUCUCCUGCCGGCCGCAUCCGUGCACAAAAGAGUGUCAAACGGACCCCAGCCUAGAACGGCGAGUUCUGAUCCCGGUGCCAGUUCCUAUAUACGUCCCCGUGCCUUGCGCGAUGUGGUCGCUUCCGUUCCCCGUUCCCGUUCCGAUCCCCAUUCCAAUUCCAACGCCGGUGUUUAUUCCGACCACGCGGAACUCCGCUAAAGGCAUCAUGAAGGAGAUCAACAAGAUCCACGAUAAGAUGCCGACGGAUCCGUUCGAGGCUGAGCUGCUGAUGAUGGCUGAGAUGGUGGCUGGAGACAAGAAGAAGGAUCAAAGUGAUUCGGACACGGACGACGAUAACGCCGAGGAAACCUUCAGCCCAGUAGCGGGCAUGGACGGCAACAACGCGUUCGGCGAGGACAUGCUGCAGAUGGCCCUGAAGAUGGCCACCGAGUACGAGGAGCAGCCCGUCGACCUGGAGUCCGCCAUGACGGCCAACACCAUCACGCCCAGCUCGCAUCCCGGCAUGCCUGGUCUGGAAGGCGAGAGCAUGCACCACCACCACAUGAUGGUACUAGAGCAGCAACGCGCGGUAGCGGCGCUCCGCUCGGGCUGCGCGGGCGCCGCUCGCAAGAGGCCGCCGCCGCCCGCGCCCGCGCGGCCCGCGCGCUCGUCCAAGCGCCGCCGCGCCGAGCCCGCGCCGCCGCCGCCUGACCCGCCGCGCGAGCCCGCUGAGAAGCCCGACGCUAAUAUGUGUCUCAAGUACACAUUCGGCGUCAACGCGUGGAAGCAGUGGGUGAUGACUAAAAACGCUGAAAUAGAAAAGAGCUCGAUUCGACGGAAACCUUUCAAAUCGGAGAUCCUUCAGCUCACGGCAGACGAGUUAAAUUACUCGCUCUGCCUGUUUGUCAAGGAGGUGCGCAAGCCUAACGGAAGCGAGUACGCGCCCGACACUAUUUAUUACUUGGUAUUAGGAAUUCAACAAUAUCUCUUUGAAAAUGGUAGGAUAGACAACAUAUUUACGGAUCCAUAUUACGAAAAGUUUACGGAUUGUUUGGACGAAGUAGCAAGAAAGUUCUCAGUUUUAUAUAACGAUUCACAAUACAUAGUCACGCGAGUAGAAGAGGAGCACUUAUGGGAAAGCAAGCAAUUAGGAGCGCAUUCGCCGCACGUGCUGCUAUCGACGCUAAUGUUCUUCAACACGAAACACUUUAACUUAGUGACAGUAGAAGAACACAUGCAGCUAUCCUUCUCGCACAUAAUGAAGCAUUGGAAGAGGAACCCCAACCAGCCGGGCCAGACGAAGGUGCCCGGCUCUAGAAAUGUACUGUUAAGGUUCUACCCGCCGCAGUCGGCGCUAGAAGCAAACUCAAGAAAAAAGAAAGUUUAUGAGCAGCAAGAAAAUGAAGAGAAUCCCCUAAGAUGUCCAGUUAAAUUAUAUGAAUUUUACAUUUCAAAAUGUCCAGAGUCAGUGCGCACGCGCAACGACGUGUUCUACCUACAACCGGAGCGCUCGUGCGUGCCCGACUCGCCCGUGUGGUACUCCACGCAGCCGCUCAGCCGCACCGCGCUCGCCAAGAUGCUGCACCGCGUCAAGAUGGUCAAGGAGAUCAACAUCGCGCUGCUCACCAGCUAAGAUUCCACUUGACCGCCAUUUGGUAUUGAAGACAGCGCAACAAUUCGACGCAAGAUCACAAUAAUAAUAUAUUUUCCGCCGAAGUUGAGUUACUGGCAGCAGCGCCCGCCGGCCUGCGGUCCUUUACCAGUAAACGCAUACCGCAGUCACCUUAUUGUUGUAAAGAUGGUAACAGUGUAUAUUUUUUCUACUUUGUAUAUCGGUCUGCGUACGGACGGUCGAACAUUACCUAAUUUUAAUACAUAGUCUAUAAUAGAUGUCUUUUUUUAUAAUGUUGCAAUGUUUUAGACUAAGAUUUCUGUGCGGGACCGUUUAUGUAUGUACAGUUUAUAUGGUUCUAGUACUUUCAUUUAAGAAAACUGAUGUUUUAUCUAAUUUAUCAUGCUAUGUCAAAUUUUAUCGGCAUAUUUAGAGAAAUAUAAUGAAUUUAUUUAAAUUGUUUCAAAUUAGCAGUUUGCUACAUUAUUUUCGAUCAGAUUGUAUAUACGCCAAGCGACUUGCACGCAUAUAGAAUUUUUUAUUUUUCAUAAUGCAUAGUACAUAUUUUGUCAUUGAAGGAUGUUUGUGACAUAACUUUCCUCAGUGCCAGCUCGAAAGGAUUAUAAUGUAUAAUAUUACACUCGUGUAAUACUUAAAUAUUAAUAAUACAUAGGCUAGAAUGUAAGCGAAGAAAUUCCAGGUUUUUAGUGGAAGGCGCACUUUUUUGUUAUAGUAGCAUUAUUCAUUUUAUAAAUCGGGGAAGCAGUUUAUAAUAUUCUCAACAAAUAGAAGUUUUUAUUAAAAAUAAUAUA